GUUGGGCUAUUGGUGUUUGCUACUGUUUGUUAAUUUUAUGAACUUAUUGUUUGAAUAGGUUUUGAUGCGUUAUAUUAGGACACUUAGCACCUGUAGUUUGGAUACUUUGAAGGACUUCAAUUAUGAAACGGUUGAACCGAGUACAUAAAUGGUCUUAGGGGAGAGUUGAGCAGAAUACUCACAUUAACACAACAAGACAUUUCUGUAGUUGACAGGGAGAGUUGAAGAGAAAAGGAGAUGGUCUGAGGGGAUUCAUCAAGCUGUAGGAGCCAAAGAAGGUGUCAAAAUUGAGAUAUCUCUUGAGCUAGCAGAAGCAGCAAAAGCACAAUUUUCACGUGAUUACAGUGAUAACCUUGCUCUUGUCCGGGCUUAUGAGGCCUGCAAAGAAGUUGAAAGAGACGUAGCUGGAUAUGAAUACUAUUGGAAGAAUUUUCUUUCUGCUCAAUCAAUGAAAGCUAUUGAUGCUCUGUGAAGGGAGUUCUACUCUUCACUUAAGGAAUAUGUUUUAAAUUUUAAUGCUAAGUGGAUGUGAAUUGGAUGAUUAUAUAGAUUACAAGCGGAUUUUUAAUUGAACGAAUAUGUAGUUUGGAAUUACUUGUGGAUGAAAACUUAUAAUAGUUGCUGACUUUAAUUAAA